GGAGGUAUAGCUCAGGGAUAGAGCAUUAGACAGCAGAUCAAGAGGUCCCUAGCUCAAAUCCAGGUUCCCCCU
rfam:Cricetulus griseus cell line CHO-K1, whole genome shotgun sequence.